CAGGCGACACAAAGUACGCAUUAUGAAUUAUUCCUGUAACCCAUUAGGUUAUUUCUAGUUUAAUAUCUAAUUCCUUGUUUACUUGUAGUUAUGUUUUCUCUGCAAACCAUAUUUUGUACACUGGUACUUAGAGAGCAGAACGAUCGUGAGCAGAAGGUUUAUUUAGAUUUUCCACACUGAUAAAAAGUAAAAAAAUAACAAUUAAGAGCUAGUAAAAAGGUUUUCUUUCCACCAAACCUACUUCUAAGGAAGGAAUAGCAGAGCGAAGGGUCGAAAUUACGACAAGGAGUUUGCUUACUUGUAUUGUUUUUCUCCGAUUGCCCCUGAUGGCUUGUGGCAUGUUCUGGUGUGUAUUGGAAAAUUGCAGUCAGGCUUUGUGAUGUCUCUCUCCAUACAACCCCCAUCGCUGAGUUGGCGACGAAUGGUGCUCACUGUUGUACACACAGUGACACAAAACAGAAGAAUCCAGUAGUCCUCCUCUAUUCAAACCGGCUGAGGGAAGCUGAGUGGUUUUCAUAAUGCAGAUACCUGCAUCUCACCAUAGGUGACUUCAGUCCCAAAGUAAUCACCUACUUGAAAUCGAAUUAUUUCUAACUACUUCUAGAACAUGACGAUAAUACUGUCCCGGACAUUUCAUGAUUUUUGGAUGAAUUACCUUGGAUUUAUUAAAUGAUUUAUAUGUCAUGGUUUUACUCGACAGCUAAUCAAACAAAUACAUUAUUGUGGAUACCAAAGAUUUUUUACAUUUUAACUGUUUUCAGGACGAAAUGGUGCAAGUGUGCCUAUACAUUGGGCCAUUGGGUUGUCGAGUUUUUGGAGAAUGUACUGCAGGGUAGGUCCAUGUUGAUGGCGUUGUCCCCAGACCUGUUAGCUUUGGGGCAAACUGAGGCAGGUCAAGAGAAGUGUGAGGCCUAGUGAAGAGCCUUAUGGGUUCCGUCCUUCCCCUACUGAGGCUCCUAAGCUAACCAGUGAAUAAUGGGUCAUCGUUGCUGCAUGACACAAAUGUUAUUGGUGAGAUGCAGAUUUCUUCCUUAUUGGAUCAAAUAAUAUAAAAACUCUGUAUCUAGAUCUGCAUCUUUAUGGUUUAAGAAGCAAAAAUGUUUAACU